GAUGAACGCUGGCGGCGUGCUUAACACAUGCAAGUCGAACGACGAAGCCCAGCUUGCUGGGUGGAAUAGUGGCGAACGGGUGAGUAACACGUGAGUAACUUGCCCUUAACUCUUGGAUAAGCCUGGGAAACGGGGUCCAAUCCCGGAUAGGAGCGUCCACCGCAGGGUGGGUGCUGGAAAGAUUUAUCGGUUUUGGAUGGACUUGCGGCCUAUCAGCUUGUUGGUGAGGUAAUGGCUCAGCAAGGCGAAGGCGGGUAGCCGUCCUGGGAGGGUGAACGGCCACACUGGGACUGAGACACGGCCCAGACUCCUACAGGAGGCAGCGGUGGGAAGUAUUACACAGUGGGACCAAGCGUGAUGCAGCGACGCCGCGUUAGGGAUGACGGCCUUCGGGUUGUAAACCUCUUUCAGUAGAGAAGAAGCGAAAGUGACGGUACCUGCAGAAGAAGCACCGGCUAACUACGUG
rnacentral:rRNA from 1 species